CUUUAUUAAAAACACCAUUUGAAAAUCAUUGAAAAAACACAGAAAGAAAAACAACCCAGUUCAUUUCACCAGUUAAAAACAAGCUUCCCAAGGCCAUUAACGGUAACUAUCCCCUCCCUUAUACACACAAUUUCUCCAUGUGUGUGAGUGUGUGUGAGUGUGUGUGUGUGUGUGUGUGUGUGUGUGUGACUAUCCCCUCCCUUAUACACACCAUUUCUCCCUGCACUGAGCCCCAAUCUCUGUGUGCUGGUAGAACCUGUACUCACCCACUAUUCUCCUUUCCACCAGAGAUUUAAACAUGGAUAUCAUGUCUGUUUUCCUUGCCUUCCUUUGCUUCGUGGGAUUUAAGGAUGGCCAACUUGGCCUACCCUACCAAGAAAUUGGCUAUUAUAUACCGCUCACGCCAAUCCUGCCUGGGCCCACAACUGAACAAAAAACACUAUACACAAAUACAUCGAUACCUUCUCCAGUAUAGCAAAUAAAGUUGCUAGCCUCGCACAUUCACAUAAAAAUGUAUUACAGCCUCAGUUAUGUUACAAUAAGGGCAAACGGGUCACAUCCCCUGAUUAAAUCUAAAAACAAGCUUAUUUGUAGCAAUUGUACAUUGUAACAACCUUCACUGAAGGUCAGCUGACAUUUUGGGCAAUGGAGACUCAUACUGCAGCCUCGAUGAGAGAGGCAGUCCAUCAGAUACUGAAAGGUGGGACCUCCCCUGUGUGUCCGGCCGUCCUUUCAGCUGUGAGUAAUGUGCAACCUUCACACAAGUUAAAUAAGGCACCUUCUUCCCAACCAUAUGGAAACCAAAGUCACGAUACCCAGUUAAUGACAGUGUACGGCCAGUGUAAUCUAUUUCCAUUUCUACAAUAUCAGGUGUUAACCUUCAAGCUGGAAAAGCCAUUGGAGCUGUCUCACUAGAAUCAUGAAUCAGAAUUGUUUUUAUUGCCAAGUAAGUUUACGCCUACCAGGAAUUUUAUUUUCCAUAUUGGUGCAGACAAUAAACAUAAAACAUAGUAAGUACUACAACAUAAGAAAAACUAUAUAUAAAAUAUAUAAAACAUAUAAAGGCAUAAUACUUAAGGCAUGGUCAACACACUCCCUCAAAGACUGACCAACCUAACUAACCUGAGUCCAACCUGCUCUGCUAUUAACUGUGGAGUUCACCAAACCCCUCCAGACAGAUCAAGCAGAUCAACUAGUCUAGUGAUCCCUGAUUCCACAAAACUAUCCAUUACUGAACUUAAACCCCCCAGCUGGAUCUUAAAGAGUGGAUUACAAAAAAACUGUUUCAUCAACAUCAAGCGCUCAUUGCCCACUCUUGAAACUUAAAACAGAUGCAUAAAGGUGAGAACAGGGAGGCCACCUGCACUGUACAAAAGACCUUUCCAUUAAGAACAAAUGCAAAUCAAGCCCUCGACUGUCCUAAGAACGGAAAGACCAAAAGGAAUCCAUGGCACAUUCUCUGAACAACAUAAUAGUCUUUGCAAUGUAUGAAGCCUCAAGGCCGGGACCUUUGAAUUCAGAAGAAUUAAGCCUUGAACGCACACAGUCAAUGUCGGACAACAAAACACCUUGAGGAAGCCAGUGAUGACCAUUCCAUAAACAGUUCUCAAAAUCCCUUUUGACCCACCUGAUGAGAUCCUUUGGAGGGUCCAGAACUGUAACCCUGUGCCACAGUCCUUCCCAUCAGGCUAAAACAAGCUUAUUUUUUUUUUACAGAGAUCGAGCUGUAGGUUUCUAAUCCUUCAAACUCUGUCUGGUCUGGUUUCACUUCAGCAUCUUAAAUAGAGCAGUAACUCACAGUUAGAGAAACAUGUGGGCUGUGAUACUGCCACAAGCAGUUGCAAUGCUUUUUUUUUUACAGAAGAUAGCUGAGAAAGAAAGGCACAUGAACAGUGAGUGGCGGUACUAUAGAGGCCUGAGGAUGAAAUGUUUGGUCUGAAUUGGUGAAACUGGAGCUUAAGGACGCUCCAUAGCAUAGCAUAUAAAUACUUUAGAAUUUAAAUAGAAAACAUUUGCAUGGCUUUCCAUUGGACAACACUGCUGUUUUUCAACUGUUAAACUAUGACAAAGAAAUUAAAUUCAGGUUUCACCAACAUAGCCCAUAGGCUUUGCAGUUUUGCUGGUUUGGGACUUGCCACCACAGUUUAAAUGACAGCAGUUGGUGUGACCGUCUCCC
ensembl:lncRNA